rnacentral:misc_RNA from 1 species
UCUACCCCAUGCGCAACAUCAAGAUC